GGAAUAUUGGACAAUGGGCGAAAGCCUGAUCCAGCCACGCCGCGUGAGUGAUGAAGGCCUUCGGGUCGUAAAGCUCUGUGGGGAAGGACGAAAAGCGCAGGGAUAAUCUCCUGCGGCUUGACGGUACUUCCUUAGCAAGCACCGGCUAACCAUGUGCCAGCAGCCGCGGUAACACAUGGGGUGCAAACGUUGCUCGGAAUUAUUGGGCGUAAAGCGCACGUAGGCGGCUUUUUAAGUCGGAUGUGAAAGCCCUCGGCUUAACCGAGGAAGUGCAUCCGAAACUGGAUGGCUUGAGUACGAGAGAGGAUCGCGGAAUUCCCGGUGUAGAGGUGAAAUUCGUAGAUAUCGGGAGGAACAUCGGUGGCGAAGGCGGCGAUCUGGUUCGAUACUGACGCUGAGGUGCGAAAGCGUGGGGAGCAAAC
rnacentral:rRNA from 1 species